rnacentral:lncRNA from 1 species
AUAAAGUGCAGAUAUGCCUUAAUUUAUCAAUAGCACCUGAUGGAGAGGAAACUCCUACCAGCUGAAGAUGUGGAGUGAUGUAAAGCAGGAGGAUGUAUGUUCCAGGAAACAAUUACCCUGGCUCUUUGCAGAGAAAAAAAGAAGAAAGGGAGUAAAAUCUAAAGCAUUAAUUCCACACCCCUCCACAUCUCCCCCAUCCUUCUUUCACAGAUUCAUUUCCGUGGCAGAGCUGGAGCUGAUUAAGGACCACUGGCCAGAGGGGAGCAGUGUCAGGGCCACCCAGCCUGGCACCAGGCAUCCUGCAUUCAAUGUGGCAAAAUGGAGGCACGUCUUCCUAGCAGUGAGCAGAAACCUCAGCAAAGAAGCAGUCUGGUUCUCAUGGCAACCAGGAUUUCCAUAUACUGCAGGGGUACACACAGUCUGACAUCACUUUGCUGCAGGGAGGAUUUCUGUGCAUACUCAAGGACUAAAUUAAGCCCUUUGUAAAUGAAGAAUGUGUGUCCAUUUUCCUGCAUGUAACUGUAUGGCUUUCCUCCUGUGAAAGGGAGAAGAAUAGGGAAAGAAAAGAAGAUGCAAAAUUAUAUUUCUCUAAGUCAAAAUAAAAAUAGCCCUGACACACCCA